GACGAACGCUGGCGGCGUGCUUAACACAUGCAAGUCGAACGGUGAAGCGCCUUCCUUUUUGGUGGGUGUGGAUGAGUGGCGAACGGGUGAGUAACACGUGAGUAACCUGCCCCCUUCUUCUGGAUAACCGCAUGAAAGUGUGGCUAAUACGGGAUAUUCUGGGUCUGUCGCAUGAUGGGUCUGGGAAAGAUAUUGUUGCGGUGGGGGAUGGGCUCGCGGCCUAUCUGCUUGUUGGUGGGGGGAGGGCCUACCAAGGCGGUGACGGGUAGCCGGCCUGAGAGGGUGGACGGCCACACUGGGACUGAGGCCCGGCCCAGACUCCUACGGGAGGCAGCCGUGGGGAAUAUUGCACAAUGGGCGCAAGCCUGCUGCAGCGACGCCGCGUGAGGGAUGGCGGCCUUCGGGUUGUGAACCUCUUUCGCCAGUGAAGCAGGCCUGCCUCGUUUGUGGGUGGGUUGACGGUAGCUGGAUAAGAAGCGCCGGCUAACUACGUG
rnacentral:rRNA from 1 species